GGGGGGACUGCAGGAUCCUGGGCUGUGUCCCACGGCAUCCUGGGAUCUGGGGCCUGUGCUGCUGGAAUCGUGCUCCUGGGGCCGUGGCUCCCA
rnacentral:pre_miRNA from 1 species